UACAGAGGGUGCGAGCGUUAAUCGGAAUUACUGGGCGUAAAGCGCGCGUAGGUGGUUUUGUAAGUCGGGUGUGAAAUCCCCAGGCUCAACCUGGGAACUGCAUUCGAGACUGCAAGACUGGAGUAUGGGAGAGGGCAGCGGAAUUUCCGGUGUAGCGGUGAAAUGCGUAGAUAUCGGAAGGAACAUCAGUGGCGAAAGCGGCUGCCUGGCCCAAUACUGACACUCAUGUGCGAAAGCGUGGGGAGCAAACAGG
rnacentral:rRNA from 1 species